GAUGAACGCUAGCGGGAGGCCUAACACAUGCAAGCCGAGCGGUAUUUGUUCUUCGGAACAGAGAGAGCGGCGCACGGGUGCGGAACACGUGUGCAACCUGCCUUUAUCUGGGGGAUAGCCUUUCGAAAGGAAGAUUAAUACCCCAUAAUAUAUUGAGUGGCAUCACUUGAUAUUGAAAACUCCGGUGGAUAGAGAUGGGCACGCGCAAGAUUAGAUAGUUGGUGAGGUAACGGCUCACCAAGUCAAUGAUCUUUAGGGGGCCUGAGAGGGGGACCCCCCACCCUGGUACUGGACCCCGGCCCAGACUCGUCCGGGAGGCAGCAGUGAGGAAUAUUGGCCAAUGGGUUAGCGCCUGACCCCGCCACCCCGCGUGAAGGACGACGGCCCUAUGGGUUUUAAACUUCUUUUGUAUGGGGAUAAACCUCCUCUCGUGGGAGUAGCUGAAGGUACUAUACGAAUAAGCCCCGGCUAACCCCGU
rnacentral:rRNA from 1 species